rnacentral:misc_RNA from 1 species
AUUGGGUCAAUCCCUAUAAUCAUGUAUAUUUUAUUGAUCAUGUAUAUCUUAUCUAUAAUUGUAUAUAAAUACAUCACACAGCUUAAGAAAAUUAAUAAAGCUAUUAUUACACAAAUCUCUUCUUCCUCUUUUCUUUCAUGGUAUCAGAGCCUGGGUAUUGAAGCCCCUCUUAAUUUUCUUCAGUUUUCUCCUCUGUUUCAUUUCAAGAAACAGA